rnacentral:rRNA from 1 species
UAGGGAAUCUUCGGCAAUGGACGAAAGUCUGACCGAGCAACGCCGCGUGAGUGAAGAAGGUUUUCGGAUCGUAAAACUCUGUUGUUAGAGAAGAACAAGGACGUUAGUAACUGAACGUCCCCUGACGGUAUCUAACCAGAAAGCCACGGCUAACUACGUGCCAGCAGCCACGGUAAUACGUAGGUGGCAAGCGUUGUCCGGAUUUAUUGGGCGUAAAGCGAGCGCAGGCGGUUUCUUAAGUCUGAUGUGAAAGCCCCCGGCUCAACCGGGGAGGGUCAUUGGAAACUGGGGGACUUGAGUGCAGAAGAGGAGAGUGGAAUUCCAUGUGUAGCGGUGAAAUGCGUAGAUAUAUGGAGGAACACCAGUGGCGAAGGCGGCUCUCUGGUCUGUAACUGACGCUGAGGCUCGAAAGCGUGGGGAGCAAACAGG